GACAGAGGGUGCAAACGUUGUUCGGAAUUACUGGGCGUAAAGCGCGUGUAGGCGGCUAAGUAAGUCGGGCGUGAAAUCCCACGGCUCAACCGUGGAAGUGCACUCGAAACUGCGUAGCUAGAGUCCUGGAGAGGAAGGUGGAAUGCUUGGUGUAGAGGUGAAAUUCGUAGAUAUCAAGCGGAACACCGGUGGCGAAGGCGGGUCUCUGGGCAGUAACUGACGCUGAGGAGCGAAAGCGUGGGGAGCGAACAGG
rnacentral:rRNA from 1 species